ensembl:lncRNA PMS2P4 PMS1 homolog 2, mismatch repair system component pseudogene 4
AGGAGGCGGGGCGCCUGUGGGAGUCGUGGAGGGAACUUUCCCAGGCCCCGAGGCGGAUCGGGUAUUGAGUCCAUGGAGCGAGCUGAGAGCUAGAGAACCUGCUAAGGCCAUCAAACCUAUCGAUCGGAAGUCAGUCCAUCAGAUUUGCUCUGGGCCGGUGGUACUGAGUCUAAGCACUGCGGUGAAGGAGUUAGUAGAAAACAGUCUGGAUGCUGGUGCCACCAAUAUUGAUCUAAAGCUUAAGGACUAUGGAGUGGAUCUCAUUGAAGUUUCAGACAAUGGAUGUGGGGUAGAAGAAGAAAACUUUGAAGGCUUAACGAUGUCACCAUUUCUACCUGCCACGCAUCGGCGAAGGUUGGGACUCGACUGGUGUUUGAUCACGAUGGGAAAAUCAUCCAGAAAACCCCCUACCCCCACCCCAGAGGGACCACAGUCAGCGUGAAGCAGUUAUUUUCUACACUACCUGUGCACCAUAAGGAAUUUCAAAGGAAUAUUAAGAAGGAUGGCCGUAUAAGAAAAUAAACAACUUGCUAAAACUGCUGAAACUCCCUCUGCUUGUGAGAUUUAAAAAAACUGGCUGAAAUUGGUUGGAACCAACAUGUCCAAUGGAGUCUGAAUAGAAAGAGCUUGCUGACAUCACAGCCCGAAUUUCCACCACAUUUCAUACUAACUCCCCCUGAAUUUGCAUAUGCAAACCACAAGCAAGCAUGAUCAAACAGACAACUGCGCGUGUCCGAGGACUUUCCAGAUCUCCCCUUUCCUUCCACCAAUCACUUACUAAUCUGAGAAUCCAUCCCCUAAUAAAAUCACUGCCUUAAAGCCUGCACAGGAAGACAAAUUUGA